UAUACUUUGAAUAUAAAUGCUUUCUCUGUAUUUUUAUGGGUGAAGUAUAAUUAUACAUAAUGGUGGGAUUUGUUGACAUAUAUUUGUCUGUGCACCUGAAAUGCCAAUAAAAUUUGGCCAGUACCAUUCCCCAAUUCCUCCCCUUUCCUCCCACUCCUUCCUCCCUCAUCUCUUUCCUAUACUCUAAAGUUCUCUCUGCAAAUUUUGUGUGAUCUCCCCCUGCCAUGUCUUUCUUCUCUUUUUCCUCUCUAGUUUCCACAUAUGAGAUAAAACAUAACCCUUCAUUUUGGCUUAUUUCUCUUAACAUAAUGCUCCCAAGGCCCACCCAUUUUAUUGCAAAUAACAUAAUUUGAUUUUUAUUUAUGAUGGAAUAAAACUUCCAUGUGCAUUUACACCACAUUUUCUUUAUCAAUUCAUUUAUUGAUGGACACCUAGUCUGGUCCAUAGUUUGGCUGUUUUGAAUUGUGCUGAUCUAAACAUGGGUAUGCAUAUAUCACUAUAGUAUACUGACUUUAAUUCUUUAGGAUAAAUACCAAGGAUGGUGUAGCUGGG
rnacentral:lncRNA from 1 species